AUACGGGGGGAGCAAGCGUUGUCCGGAAUCAUUGGGCGUAAAGGGCACGUAGGCGGUUUCUUAGGUCGAAUGUGAAAUCUCACGGCUCAACCGUGAAACUGCGUUCGAAACUAAGUGACUUGAGUUUGGGAGAGGUGUACGGAAUUCCUGGUGUAGCGGUGGAAUGCGUAGAUAUCAGGAAGAACACCAAUGGCGAAGGCAGUACACUGGCCUGAAACUGACGCUGAGGUGCGAAAGCGUGGGGAGCAAACAGGAUUAGAAACCCCAGUAGUCC
rnacentral:rRNA from 1 species